rnacentral:rRNA from 1 species
UAAUACGAAGGGUGCAAGCGUUAAUCGGAAUUACUGGGCGUAAAGCGUGCGUAGGCGGUUUGUUAAGUCAGAUGUGAAAGCCCCGGGCUCAACCUGGGAACUGCAUUUGAUACUGGCAGGCUAGAGUACGGUAGAGGGUGGUGGAAUUCCCGGUGUAGCGGUGAAAUGCGUAGAGAUCGGGAGGAACAUCCGUGGCGAAGGCGGCCACCUGGACCAGUACUGACGCUGAGGCACGAAAGCGUGGGGAGCAAACAGG